ACGUAUUCGGGCGAUGGGGCCCGCCUGACCCAACUGCCGCUCUCGGCGACCGACACCCCUCGAGCGUGGCUGACGGUCCCUGCCUUCAA
rnacentral:ncRNA from 1 species